rfam:Ciona savignyi cont_52890, whole genome shotgun sequence.
GUAACCGUGAGGUUAGGUCUGGAGGAAGCCGGACGCAAACCUGCGAGCUGAUGAACAAAAACAUCAUAUGAGGCGUAGGCUGAAGGCGAGUUGGCACAAGACAACGAAGCCAGGUGAUCUAACGGCCACCGUAAAUGAUACAGUUGUGCAGCGAAAGUUCAUGCU